AACGCACAUUGCGCUCCCUGGUAUUCCGGGGAGCAUGCCUGUUUGAGUGUCAUGAACUCUUCAACCCACUGGUUCCUUGUUGAACUGGGUGGAGUUUGGAUCUUGAGCGUUUUGCUGGUCACUAGCUGAUCUUGCGAUCGGUGAAGGCGAAGCUCGUUCGUAAUACAUUAGCAUCUCAAUUUGAGUUGUUCGGAUUGACUUGGCGUAAUAGAAUAUUCGCUGAGGACACCUUUGUAAUGAAGGCGGCCGAACCUUGAAGUAGAAGCUUCUAGAAUCCUAAUUAACUUUAAGAUUAGACCUCAGAUCAGGCAGGAUUACCCGCUGAACUUAA
rnacentral:misc_RNA from 1 species